rnacentral:rRNA from 1 species
AGAGUUUGAUCAUGGCUCAGGAUGAACGCUAGCGGCAGGCUUAAUACAUGCAAGUCGUGGGGCAGCAUGGUGUAGCAAUACACUGAUGGCGACCGGCAAACGGGUGCGGAACACGUACGCAACCUUCCCAAAACUGGUGAAUAGCCCUCCGAAAGGAGGAUUAAUACACCGUAACAUAAUGAAAUGGCAUCAUUUUAUUAUUAUAGCUCCGGCGGUUUUGGAUGGGCGUGCGCCUGAUUAGGUAGUUGGCGGGGUAACGGCCCACCAAGCCUGCGAUCAGUAACUGGUGUGAGAGCACGACCAGUCACACGGGCACUGAGACACGGGCCCGACUCCUACGGGAGGCAGCAGUAAGGAAUAUUGGUCAAUGGACGCAAGUCUGAACCAGCCAUGCCGCGUGAAGGAUGAAGGUCCUCUGGAUUGUAAACUUCUUUUAUAGGGGACGAAAAAAGGGAAUUCUUUCUCACUUGACGGUACCCUAGGAAUAAGCACCGGCUAACUCCGUGCCAGCAGCCGCGGUAAUACGGAGGGUGCAAGCGUUAUCCGGAUUUACUGGGUUUAAAGGGUGCGUAGGUGGGUCUGUAAGUCAGUGGUGAAAUCUCCGGGCUUAACCCGGAAACUGCCAUUGAUACUAUAGGUCUUGAAUACUCUGGAGGUAAGCGGAAUAUGUCAUGUAGCGGUGAAAUGCUUAGAUAUGACAUAGAACACCAAUUGCGAAGGCAGCUUACUACGGGGUCAUUGACACUGAGGCACGAAAGCGUGGGGAUCAAACAGGAUUAGAUACCCUAGUAGUCC